UUGAGUGUGAAAGGAGGAAAUCAGGUAAGAGAGGAAGAAGAUGGCGAAGCGAGUGGGAAGCAGGAACAACAAGGACGAUGAAUCUGCUUUGACUCGGACUGUCAACUCGGUCUUCGGCUUCUUCAGAUUCGCCGAGUUCGAGAUUCUAUUCGUCCUCUUCUUCGUUAUCGCCUUCAUCAUUUUCAAAGAUCUCACAUCGCGGCCGGAAUAUAGUCAGAUUCUCGUAAAGAAGCCUGGUGGUGGUGGUUUUUGGCCCUCUUAAAUAGAGUUCUCAAGAUUGGAUAAACAGUUUUCAGUUUGAUUAUGUAUCUACUUUUGUUUAGUGGAACAGAAUUCCUUGCUAUCCAUGUACUUUCCUAUUGAAUGUAAUUAAUGUGAUUUGAUGCAUCUCUCCAACAACUAAUCUCUGAAUUUAAUCAUAAUAUAGUCAACUUUUGCUCUUUCAUGUC